UGCGACCCUCGUCAUCUUUUCGCGCCGUUUGUAGACUCGUACUAUUCUUCUCACGGCCACUCCAUAGAGUGCCUGACAUAUUUCAUCGCCGUAACUUCAAAAUAACAUCACUGGAGAUUUUACUGAAUUUAGAAAGAGUGAAUAAGUAGACGUACCUUCUUGGUACGCUUCGGCAACAAAUCAGGCUUGCUUGUUAUCGCCAGGGGUAUAUUGGCUCGACUGCGUACCAAAAUGGUACGAUUAGGUGAGAACUGGGUAAAAUAUCUAUUAGAUCACGGAAGAAAGAACACGUGGAUGAUUGUCGCGAGCGAUGGCGCUGGCAAGAAGAGCGAGAGUUUUCGACAGGCUGUAUUUUAGUACAAAGCAAAAAGGCGAAAAGGUUUAAGAACUUCAGUGCCUUCAGAGGAUGAAGUCCAACAUCAUAUCACAAUCUGCCGCUUCAAUUAAACAAUGGUCGAAAGUAAGAGUGAGGAUUCUGACACAACUGCAAAGAGCGCCGAGGAAAAGGAAAGUGGAAAGGGAGCAUGCCUGUAUGUGUCCUCAGCAAAAAGUUCAGAUUCAACAACAAUCAUCAUCAAGAAGCUGGAGACCAUUAGGAUUUACUGUUAACAUUAGGAAUCAAGCAUUGCAUCAGCUUCACAGUUAUGUGCCUCCAUGAGGAUGGCUCUUAUUGUGUUGGAAGACUGUGAAGAAAACAAUUUCAUUGAGACUAUCAAAUCACCGAAGGAUGAUGAUACAACAAGCACACGCCCAUUGUAUUUAU